rnacentral:rRNA from 1 species
GAUGAACGCUGGCGGCGUGCUUAACACAUGCAAGUCGAACGAAGAAGAGUUGAAUGAGAGCUUCGGCAGGAUUUCUUCUCAUCUUAGUGGCGGACGGGUGAGUAACGUGUGGGCAACCUGCCCUAUACUGGGGAAUAAUCACUGGAAACGGUGACUAAUACCGCAUGUCAUCAUCGGAGGGCAUCCUCUGGUGAAAAAAGGAGUAAUUCGGUAUAGGAUGGGCCCGCAUCUGAUUAGCUAGUUGGUGAGAUAACAGCCCACCAAGGCGACGAUCAGUAGCCGACCUGAGAGGGUGAUCGGCCACAUUGGGACUGAGACACGGCCCAGACUCCUACGGGAGGCAGCAGUGGGGGAUAUUGCGCAAUGGGGGAAACCCUGACGCAGCAAUGCCGCGUGAAGGAAGAAGGUCUUCGGAUCGUAAACUUUUGUCUUCAGGACGAUAAUGACGGUACCUUUCGAGAGCCACGGCUAACUACGUGCCAG